rnacentral:rRNA from 1 species
ACACGUAGGGGGCAAGCGUUGUCCGGAAUUAUUGGGCGUAAAGGGCGUGUAGGCGGUUAAUUAAGUCAGGUGUGAAAGCCCGGGGCUCAACCCCGUGAUUGCACCUGAAACUGGUUAACUUGAGGGCAAGAGAGGAAAGUGGAAUUCCUAGUGUAGCGGUGAAAUGCGUAGAUAUUAGGAGGAACACCAGUGGCGAAGGCGACUUUCUGGCUUGACCCUGACGCUGAGGCGCGAAAGCGUGGGGAGCAAACAGGAUUAGAUACCCUGGUAGUCCACGCCGUAAACGAUGGGUACUAGGUGUAGGAGGUAUCGACCCCUUCUGUGCCGCAGCAAACGCAUUAAGUACCCCGCCUGGGGAGUACGUUCGCAAGAAUGAA